AUGUUUGUGCUUGUGGUGUUUCUCAUCGGGUAUUUUAAAAUUCAUUUAAAUUUUAACAGCUUAGUAUUGUGUCAACUGGUUCAUGAUGUUUGAUGGUGUGUUUUUUGUUUGUUUUUCUCACUUUUUUGCAGUGUUUUUUGUCAUUCAGUGUCAGCUGGAGGUGCCUAUUGUGCCAAAACAGCUAGAGCCCAUGCAGCUGCCUUGGGUUUGGAUUACCCAAGUGCCCAUGGGGCCCUGCCCUUUUCUGGACAAGCCCACCAUAGGAUGUUCCCCAGGAGACCUAUAAAAAAUACUGCAUCCGAGCCCAUCACGAUUGACGAUAGACAAAAGCAGCCAACGGGGAAAUUCGUAGGUAACUGGCAACACAAACGAGCAUAUUCCUGGGGUUCAGAAUCUGCCGCAUCGCCACUCAGCCGAGCUGUGUAUGAUCCUCAAUUUGCCCCUCCCCAACUGGUCAGUGUUCCCACAGGACAGGCAGUUAGUGACCACAAGUCCAAUUUUGAAGCGGUCAAGCAUUAUGGCCCUCGAACAUGGGCUGAAGCCCCGGGCCAGGUCGACCUUAUGAAUUGGAGUCCUCAAGGUUACAACCAGCCACUUUUGUUUGUCUCCAGUAAGCGUGACCUCAUUGUUGAUGAGUCUGUCCCAAAUGGACGUGGCAUUUCUGUGAGUGGACUCUCCCCGCCUCCAAGUCAGGGUCACGGCACCUACCAGAGGGGUUACAGCAAAAUGGAGCACAUCACGGGAAGAGAAGUUCCUGUCCCCAGAUCGUCUCGCUUCACUGUGACCGGCCACCGUCCUGCUGCUAGUCUUCAAACGCACUACUUUAACAGACCACCGGUCUUCAAUGUUGAACAUUUUAUUCAAAAUCAGCCUGUUCAAAGGCGCUAUCCCUGGUUUUACAAACCACCUGAAGUGUAUUAGACAAGCAUUGUGUGACUGGGAGUAAUGAUAUAAUGGUAUAACUUCAAAAUGUCUCCCCCCGCAUCCACACUUGGAGUGAAAAAGAAGUACAUUCAUUGUACACAAUCGCUUGCAUUGCUCCCCCCUCUGCUUCACCUGUAGCACUCUGAAACAAGUGCAAUGUCUGUUAAAUAUUUAAGCUUAAGCUGCUAAUAAAAUGUUUUCCUCACCUACCUGUAUGU